CUAUAUCUACCCUGUAGAUCCGGAUUUGUGUGACGGUCGAUGAAACAAUCACAAAUUCGCUUCUAGGGGAGUAUAUAGU
rnacentral:pre_miRNA from 1 species